GGGGCUGGGGCCCGGGGAGGCCACCAGGGCGGGGCCGGGCGCGGGGCGGCGCUUCUUCGCGCCUCCCGGCCCCGGCCUGGCGUCCGUGGGGCGCUGUGCGUCUCCGAGAACGAAGCGGCCUCCGGGUUCGUGUGCUCCGAGCCCGAGUACUGUUUGCGGCCGUCGUCCCGUCCUGGAGCAGGAGUGAGGAAGCGCCUCUCACUCCCCCGCGAACCCGCAGAACAGGCCGCCGGCGCUAUGGAGACCGGCGGAGCUUCCCGCUCCUUCACCAAGGGGCCCUGACGCGCAGUUGAAAGCGCGGAUUUUGCCGGGCGCGGCGGCUGCGUCCGGAGUCCCAGCGCCUUGGGAGGCGAGGCGGGAGGAUCCCCACGGCCCGGGAGCUCGAGACCAGCCCGGGCAAAUAUUUUGAAAGUCAUGAGCGGGACGGAAGGUGGGACUGGGAGAGCUGUUCUCGGGCAGGUGGACGCUGUGGAUUAGCGGAGAGGGAAGGCACUUUCGUUCUCGGCACCGUGAGGCUGUCCUGGUCAAUCCUGUUUUCAUGCUUGAGGGUCUCUGGUGCAGCAGCUCCACCAGCCUUGACACCAGGACUUCUGUGGAAUCCAGGUAAGCAGCCAGGGUCCUGAUAGGGCCAUGCCCUCACCCCCAUGUAAUGCAUCCACUCCCAGUUAAAUGAGAAAGGAACAAUCACAGGAAAACAUGGAGAACAACUCCACUGUUCAGAAGCCAACCCUAUAUUAGCUACUGUUUAGGUAGAAAUGAAAAACUUUGAGACGUAAACUCCUGCAGGUAGAAGUAGAUUUCCGGUGAAUGAACAAAAUGAAGCUUAUUAGAAUCAAUGGCCUCUUCUGAGAGCCGUUCUGAAUUUUUUUUUUUUUGAGACGGAGUCUUGCUAUGUCGCCCAGGCUGGAGUGCAGUGGCGCGAUCUCGG
rnacentral:lncRNA from 10 species